ensembl:lncRNA
AGCAUGAGGCAAAGACAUUUCAACAGGCAAAACCAGACUUCCUCAUUGGACCCGCCCUGUAAACUACUCCACACCAACAACCUCAGAUUGUAUGGAUAUACUGUAAACACUCGUAAAGAAGAGAACCCAUAGGAGGCUUCAAAUGAGGAAACGCCCCUCUGCCUCCCAUGCUUUAUACGGGCGAUAGCAACAGGUUCAAUAGCCAUAUCAAAUAGGAAAGGGGAUAAACAACAACCCUGCCUGGCCCCCUGUGGAGAGGGAAGUAGCUGGAGGUAACAUUGUUGGUGCAAACAGAAGGCCCUGGGGACGAGUACAACAUCUUCAUCCAGGAAAGGAAGGACGGGCCAAACCCAAAUCUCUCUAGUACUGUAAAUAGAUGUUCCCCCUCAACCCGGUCGAAAGCCUUUUCAGCAUCUUCUGGCUGAAGAGUUGAGUGGGCAGAAUGAAGAACGUUAAAUAGCCGGCGCAUUUCACAGGAAGUGUCACGCUGAAGGACUGGACUACAGGAAGUGUCACAGCUGGCUGAAGGACUGGACCACAGGAAGUGUCACGGCUGGCUGAAGGACUGGACUACAGGAAGUGUCACAGCUGGCUGAAGGACUGGACUACAGGAAGUGUCACAGCUGGCUGAAGGACUGGACUACAGGAAGUGUCACAGCUGGCUGAAGGACUGGACCACAGGAAGUGUCACGGCUGGCUGAAGGACUGGACCACAGGAAGUGUCACGGCUGGCUGAAGGACUGGACCACAGGAAGUGUCACGGCUGGCUGAAGGACUGGACCAAGGUGCAGCAUGG